rnacentral:rRNA from 1 species
UACGUAGGGGGCAAGCGUUGUCCGGAUUUAUUGGGCGUAAAGAGCGUGUAGGCGGCUAGGUAGGUCCGUUGUGAAAACUCGAGGCUCAACCUCGAGACGCCGAUGGAAACCAUCUGGCUAGAGUCCGGAAGAGGAGAGUGGAAUUCCUGGUGUAGCGGUGAAAUGCGCAGAUAUCAGGAAGAACACCCGUGGCUGAGGCGGCUCUCUAGUACGGUACUGACGCUGAGACGCGAAAGCGUGGGGAGCGAACAGG